CGCAUCUGUGCAUGCAGCAUAUCAAUAAGCGGAGGAAAAGAAACUAACAAGGAUUCCCCUAGUAACGGCGAGUGAAGCGGGAAGAGCUCAAAUUUGAAAUCUUAAAGGGUUUCCCUUUACGAAUUGUAGUUUAAAGAAGUGUUUUCUGUUGAGGUUUUGGUAAAAGUUCUUUGGAAUAGGACAUCAUAGGGGGUGAGAAUCCCGUAUUUGACCUUUACUUUCAACUUUGUGAUACACUUUCAAAGAGUCGGAUUGUUUGGGAAUGCAGUCCAAAAUGGGUGGUAAAUUUCAUCUAAAGCUAAAUAUUGGCGAGAGACCGAUAGCGAACAAGUACCGUGAGGGAAAGAUGAAAAGAACUUUGAAAAGAGAGUUAAACAGUACGUGAAAUUGUCAAAAGGGAAGCGUUUGACACCAGUGUUGUUUUUCCUGAAAAUCAAUUAAAGAACUGUUUAUGCUAAGCUGUUUAGACUUUAUCAGCUAUCUGUUUAGUUUUGAGCUUUUCUUUAAUGCACUUUUCAGUUAACAAGUCACCAUCAAUUUCUUUUGCUGUAAAAAAGCUUGAGGAAGGUGGCUUGAGAUUCGUCUUAAGUGUUUAUAGCCUCUUGCCUACUGCAGUCGGGAGAGAUUGAGGUCUGCAGCGUAGAUCCUUCGGGGCUAAAUGCAUUUGUGCUAAGUUAUAGCAUUUUAUAGACAACUUGUUGACUAUGAUUUGUCUUGUAGCUUACUCGCUUAUGUUAUUUUACCUACGCUUAGGAUGUUGAAUCUGUGCGAGACUAC
rnacentral:rRNA from 1 species